AUGUGCAAAUGGCUUUGGAGGAAGAGACGACGUAGCUGUACUUGCAGACAACAAUCGACAAAACUUGGAAUGGAUUUUGCUUUUCAAGAAAGCAACGUUGGACUUCAGCAGCACUGCCUGUACAUCCUCAGAGUCGCUUGGACCACUGAGCUACAAACUCUAUGCUUGGACUGACGGAAGGAGAAUUUUGCACUAGUGGAACUGGCAGUGGGAGAACACAGCUGUGCAAAGCUGACAAAACAACGGAGGCAGUUCCUGCUGCGAACAGGGUACUCGACAGCCUCAAGCCGCGCCAGUGUCACGUCUGCUGGGAUUCGGUUCGUUCGUCCAUGCUGUCUCUCAGAAAAUGCUGCCAACACACGUCAUGACCUUUUACAUCGUUCGUUUGAUGGAGCGAUUCGCCGUCUCUGCUCGGUAACCACUGACCUCUGAUUGCCUAGGACUGAAGGGUUUUGUCAACGGCAGAAAUAUUCCACGGAUGACUCGCAUGUCCAAUAAUCGUAAGCCGGGAUAAG